CCAUCCAGUCAGAUUGGAUAGGAGGUGGACUUUCCACCAUGUUUCAUCCAUCCAGUCAGAUUGGAUAGGAGGUGGACUUUCCACCAUGUUGCAUUCAUCCAGUCAGAUUGGAUAGGAGGUGGACUUUCCACCAUGUUUCAUUCAUCCAUCCAGUCAGAUUGGAUAGGAGGUGGACUUUCCACCAUGUUUCAUCCAUCCAUCCAGUCAGAUUGGACAGGAGGUGGACUUUCCACCAUGUUUCAUCCAUCCAGUCAGAUUGGAUAGGAGGUGGACUUUCCACCAUGUUUCAUCCAUCCAGUCAGAUUGGAUAGGAGGUGGACUUUCCACCAUGUUUCAUCCAUCCAGUCAGAUUGGAUAGGAGGUGGACUUUCCACCAUGUUUCAUCCAUCCAGUCAGAUUGGAUAGGAGGUGGACUUUCCACCAUGUUUCAUUCAUCCAGUCAGAUUGGAUAGGAGGUGGACUUUCCACCAUGUUUCAUUCAUCCAGUCAGAUUGGAUAGGAGGUGGACUUUCCACCAUGUUUCAUUCAUCCAGUCAGAUUGGAUAGGAGGUGGACUUUCCACCAUGUUUCAUUCAUCCAGUCAGAUUGGAUAGGAGGUGGACUUUCCACCAUGUUUCAUUCAUCCAGUCAGAUUGGAUAGGAGGUGGACUUUCCACCAUGUUGCAUUCAUCCAUCCAGUCAGAUUGGACAGGAGGUGGACUUUCCACCAUGUUUCAUUCAUCCAUCCAGUCAGAUUGGAUAGGAGGUGGACUUUCCACCAUGUUUCAUUGAUCCAUCCAGUCAAAUUGGAUAGGAGGUGGACUUUCCACCAUGUUUCAUUCAUCCAUCCAGUCAAAUUGGAUAGGAGGUGGACUUUCCACCAUGUUUCAUUCAUCCAUCCAGUCAGAUUGGAUAGGAGGUGGACUUUCCACCAUGUUUCAUCCAUCCAGUCAGAUUGGAUAGGAGGUGGACUUUCCACCAUGUUUCAUUCAUCCAUCCAGUCAGAUUGGAUAGGAGGUGGACUUUCCACCAUGUUGCAUUCAUCCAUCCAGUCAGAUUGGAUAGGAGGUGGACUUUCCACCAUGUUUCAUCCAUCCAGUCAGAUUGGAUAGGAGGUGGACUUUCCACCAUGUUUCAUCCAUCCAGUCAGAUUGGACAGGAGGUGGACUUUCCACCAUGUUUCAUCCAUCCAGUCAGAUUGGAUAGGAGGUGGACUUUCCACCAUGUUUCAUUCAUCCAUCCAGUCAGAUUGGAUAGGAGGUGGACUUUCCACCAUGUUUCAUUCAUCCAUCCAGUCAGAUUGGAUAGGAGGUGGACUUUCCACCAUGUUUCAUCCAUCCAGUCAGAUUGGAUAGGAGGUGGACUUUCCACCAUGUUUCAUUCAUCCAUCCAGUCAAAUUGGAUAGGAGGUGGACUUUCCACCAUGUUGCAUUCAUCCACCCAGUCAGAUUGGAUAGGAGGUGGACUUUCCAUCAUGUUUCAUCCAUCCAUCCAGUCAGAUUGGAUAGGAGGUGGACUUUCCACCAUGUUUCAUCCAUCCAGUCAGAUUGGAUAGGAGGUGGACUUUCCACCAUGUUUCAUUCAUCCAUUCAGAUUGGAUAGGAGGUGGACUUUCCACCAUGUUUCAUCCAUCCAUUCAGAUUGGAUAGGAGGUGGACUUUCCACCAUGUUUCAUCCAUCCAGUCAGAUUGGAUAGGAGGUGGACUUUCCAUCAUGUUUCAUCCAUCCAGUCAGAUUGGAUAGGAGGUGGACUUUCCACCAUGUUUCAUUCAUCCAUCCAGUCAGAUUGGAUAGGAGGUGGACUUUCCACCAUGUUUCAUUCAUCCAUCCAGUCAGAUUGGAUAGGAGGUGGACUUUCCACCAUGUUUCAUUCAUCCAUCCAGUCAGAUUGGAUAGGAGGUGGACUUUCCACCAUGUUUCAUUCAUCCAUCCAGUCAGAUUGGAUAGGAGGUGGACUUUCCACCAUGUUUCAUUCAUCCAUCCAGUCAGAUUGGAUAGGAGGUGGACUUUCCACCAUGUUUCAUUCAUCCAUCCAGUCAGAUUGGAUAGGAGGUGGACUUUCCACCAUGUUUCAUUCAUCCAUCCAGUCAGAUUGGAUAGGAGGUGGACUUUCCACCAUGUUUCAUUCAUCCAUCCAGUCAGAUUGGAUAGGAGGUGGACUUUCCACCAUGUUUCAUUC